rnacentral:rRNA from 1 species
GAUGAACGCUAGCGGCAGGCUUAAUACAUGCAAGUCGAACGGCAGCACGGGUAGCAAUAUCUGGUGGCGAGUGGCGCACGGGUGCGUAACACGUAUGCAAUCUUCCUUCAACUGGGGAAUAGCUCACCGAAAGGUGAAUUAAUACCCCAUAAUAUUCGAGAGCGGCAUCGCUCUCCAAUUAAAGCUCAGGCGGUUGAAGAUGAGCAUGCGGAACAUUAGCUUGUUGGCGGGGUAACGGCCCACCAAGGCAACGAUGUUUAGGGGAUCUGAGAGGAUUAACCCCCACACUGGUACUGAGACACGGACCAGACUCCUACGGGAGGCAGCAGUAAGGAAUAUUGGACAAUGGAGGCAACUCUGAUCCAGCCAUGCCGCGUGCAGGAUGACGGCCCUAUGGGUUGUAAACUGCUUUUAUACGGGAAAAAACCCCACUACGUGUAGAGGGCUGAUGGUACCGUAAGAAUAAGGAUCGGCUAACUCCGUG